CGCCUUUUUCUGUUCUCUGUUUUCUUUUUAAUUUAUCUCGCCCUGAGUGUCAGGUUCCCGGUGCUUGAUGCAUAAUUAAUCAGGACUGUAAUGAAUGAGCGGCGUGAAUGGAAAACACAGGCGUUGUAAAAAACAAUGGGCCGCAAGAAAAUAAUUGCUUCAAACCCCUCGCUCGCGCUCAGCCAGCCAACCCCGAUCCACACACAAGCCAUUCGUUUAUUGUGAGGAGAAAAUGAAAAGAAUGUUUGUAGAUCGCUAAUCAACGAAAGUUUAAAAAAAUGUUAAAAGAAAGAGUAAACAAGUGCUAAUUGAAGGAGGUUUGUGGUGAAAAAAAGAGUACCUAAGCGAGCGAAAUAGAAGAAAGAUUCAUUGUGAGGUGUAAUGGUUCUUGUCGCACCUAAUUUUAUGAUCGCACAGUGAGUAAGGCAUCUGUUGUGUGCCCCAACAUGCCUAUCUGUCUAUACCUAUCUUUCAUCAUCACUUACAUUCUUACAUCUAUACCCCAUAUCCGGUCUCAGGACAUUCCAUACAUUCGCAUGCUUUCUCUUCAUGCUUACGUCAUAUCACCGGACUCUGCACUUUCUAUCUCAUUAUUCCGCGCGGGGUCCGGGCUAAUCACCCUCAACCCUUGCUCUUUGAUAUGUCUCUUGAGGACUAGUCUAGUUUUAGAGUUAGUUACAGUUCAGCAGCAGAUAGAAUAGAGUUCGAUUGUACCUCUUGGAGGCCAGGCCUCGGCUGGCUCCUCCACUUUUCACACGUUGAAGUACAGAGUUCAUCCCUUAUAUUUUUGUGUUUCGUGUUUUCAUCCUCCACCUCUUCGUCUUGGAGCAAGGGCACCCUACAGAGGCCCAUCCAAGUAACGUUACACAUCAAAAAGGGCGCAAAAAUACUUUGAACCGGAGAAUAUAAUAUCCAACGCGCACACCGAAUGAAGUUAAGGCUUUAAAGUCGAAUACUGCAUUAUUAUUGAAUUCCGAGAGUUGAGUGUCAUAGACAGACCGCGCAACAACCGCACUUUAUUUUCCGCAGAAUUUUGUUUAAUGCAUUCAAUGUAAAAUUUUUGUUAAAUUUAAAUACAAAUUUGCUCUAGCCCCAAGAAAGUAUCCAUAAUAUGAGUCUUACCUCCUAUAGGAGCACAAGCAUAACAUUUUAUAUCAGCUUAAACAUCUGCAAAAAAAGGAAGACAGACGGCGGGGAAAAGGAAUGUCAUAGAAUGUGUUUCAUAGCUAAAUAAAUGAAAAUUCACGUAUAAUCAGUAUAUGAUCAAUAGUAAUAAAUAGUCCUCAAUAGCAUGUACUUUCUUUCAAGACGUAGCGGAAAGAUGACAGGGGAGGCGGAGGGUGUCUGGGGACGCAAGAUCGGAAGACGCGCAAACUGGUGAUUUUUCGGUACUUUGCAAUCUGAAACGUCUCGCCCUCCGGAAAAAUGUACUCGACAAUUGGGAAAAACGAGGUGGUAAAAUAGCCUUGAGGCGACACUAUUUGGGGAGGAGGGGGGAGGAGGGAACAAGGCCUCCCUAACGGGUGUAAUCUACUGACGAAGUCUAAAAAAGACCCAAAAAAUGUAUGAUCUCUCGGCGUGACCCCAGCCUCAAACUACGAUGCACAUGCCAUAACUGAACGCUUUCCCCUCUCAGUCUCGUACUCAUACUCAUUAGAGCUCAAAUUUUUUACUCUAAUUCAAAUUUUUGGAAUUUUUUUAUCUUGUUUCCCUCGCAAAAUAUAUAGUGUGUACCCAGCACUACUUUACCAUCAUGUUACAUACAGUCCGGGGGGGUACUAGUGUUUUUUUCUUAUCAGUCGGGAAAAGCGUACCAAAUAAAUGAGAUCUCAAAUUAUUUUUUUAUUUAAUUGAUAAAAGACAAAGUUGUGAUGCUUUAUUUAUCCUAUAGCCUUGCCGCAAGCUUUAACUAUUUUUCAACGUUUUUCUACGCUUACAAUCAGAUGCACCAUAUCAUCGGUGAACUAUUUACCCGCCGCUGAUUCUUGUAAUUUUUUGCCGGAAAAGUUGAUAGCACUGUGUACUUUUGCGCGAUUAGUCUUUUCAUUUCAACUUGGAAUAAUAAAUAGCAUUCGGAUGUACCUACGUCAAGUGAUCUCGGGCGUUACAUGUGGCAUCGUAUCUCAUCAUCAUCCAGUGGUGAAGCGUGAAUCAGCGGUUAUCGAUAUUCCCCCAUUUGAAGCCGCGGUAAAGGAUCGAUUAUCUAGAUGUUGGUUGCAAACACCCUGUUUAUCGAUCCAUUUCCAUUGGUUUAAAUGGCAAAUCAAUCGAUAAAUCGCAAAUCACGCCUCGUCCGUCGGCAUUUUCGUAUCGGCUGGGAUCCCGUUAUUCCGAGAGAUGUCAAAAUUCGAUGAAUUCCUUGAUCCGCACUCUACCUUGAUUUUACCCUUCCAGCAUAAUUUAAGUACCGCUUUUUCAUUGGCGGUAUUGAAAUAUUAUUGAGUGGAUGCAUUUUCUCCUCGACUUUUAGUCCAUCCUAACCUGAGCUAACGCUAUAACUGCUUUAUCAUAAAAUAUUUGAAUGAUGCCCCAUAAGCCGAGGAUUAGCGAUCCUUGAAAAAAUCACAAGCAUGUCAAAAGCCUGAAUUGAAACAAUUUAGGUGUAUUUUCAUUGGUCAAUCACUCAAUCAACAAUUUUCUAUCCACAUCAAUUUUCUAUCGAAUUUAGACGAUGUGCUAUAGAUGUUUACGAAUAUUGCAUUUCUUUUCGCGUGCUGUUUUAUUUAAUGUGUGAAUUCUUUAAUUAUAAUCGAAAUGUAGACUUUCAAUUGACCAUUCGAGCCAUCCUUCGCAAAGGUGACGCGACAUCUAACUCCAAGCCUUGCAAUGGGGCAGAUAGUGCAACUUUGUAUAUAAUCUGUGGCAAACCAGACAAACACAUGCUAUUUAAUUGUGAAAAAAUAAAUAUGCAAACAUUUUUGGGAAAUUUUGGCAGUACCUCCAAAUCGCCGUAGUCGCACAUGCACAUUGCGUGUGUAUUUGUGCAACCUCAGCAGCAGUGCAAAUCAUGCGGCGAGUCUGCGAAAAAGGUCUCGAUUUCAAAAUUCCUCAUUUUCAAGGAGAACUUUGGAUGAAAAUAAACUUGUUAACCAUCGAAUUGCACUCCAAUAACGUAUGGCAAUAUCGUUAUCUAUUUGCCAAUAACUUUGAUUGGUUUCAUUCGAAUUCUCGCUUUCCUCGUUUCAAGAAAAUUGACCGUUAGUCAAACAGUAUUGUAGGCAAAUUCGCAGAACCGCCAACACGUUCGGUUUGUUUAUCGUCCAGUAAUGACGAUUCCGUCGCUUUGCAAUGACUGUUGAAAUAAACUGUUGCAAUGACCGUUGAAUGAAUGUUAUUGAAAAUGCAAAAAUGAACUUUCCGCGAAGAACGAUCUCUCAUUGUUUAGAUUCUAAAUAUUUUAACGAUCAAUAAUUCUUGGCCG
rnacentral:lncRNA from 1 species